GACGAACGCUGGCGGCGUGCUUAACACAUGCAAGUCGAACGGAAAGGCCCCUUUGGGGGUACUCGAGUGGCGAACGGGUGAGUAACACGUGAGUAACCUGCCCUUGACUUCGGGAUAACUUCAGGAAACUGGGGCUAAUACCGGAUAGGAAUCCUUGCUGCAUGGUGGGGGUUGGAAAGCUUCGGCGGUUUUGGAUGGACUCGCGGCUUAUCAGCUUGUUGGUGGGGUAGUGGCUUACCAAGGCUUUGACGGGUAGCCGGCCUGAGAGGGCGACCGGCCACAUUGGGACUGAGAGACGGCCCGGCCGCCUACGGGGGGAAGAGGGGGGGAUUAUGGCACAUGGGGGGGAGGCCUGAGGCAGCACCGCGGGGGGGGGGAGGCCGGCCUUCGGGUUGUAACCCGCUUCCAGCGGGGGAGAGGCUUGGGGUGAGGGUCCGUGAAAAAGAAGCACCGGCAAACUCCGUC
rnacentral:rRNA from 1 species